rnacentral:misc_RNA from 1 species
GAAAUGCGAUAAGUAGUGUGAAUUGCAGAAUUCAGUGAAUCAUCGAAUCUUUGAACGCACAUUGCGCCCCUUGGUAUUCCAUGGGGCAUGCCUGUUCGAGCGUCAUUUGUACUCUCAGCUUUGCUUGGUGUUGGGUGCUUUGUCUAUCCCUUUGCGUUUAGACUCACCUCAAAACAAUUGGCAGCCAGUGUAUUGGUAUAGAAGCGCAGCACAAUUUGUGCCUCUAGCUGGUCAUUACUGGCGUCCACAAGCCUAUUUUAACAUGCUUGACCUCGGAUCAGGUAGGGAUACCCGCUGAACUUAAGC